rnacentral:rRNA from 1 species
UACGUAGGGGCCAAGCGUUGUCCGGAUUUAUUGGGCGUAAAGAGCUCGUAGGCGGUUCGGCAAGUCGAAUGUGAAAUCUCCACGCUCAACGUGGAGGGGUCAUUCGAUACUGCCGUGACUUGAGUACGGUAGGGGAGUGUGGAAUUCCCGGUGUAGCGGUGAAAUGCGUAGAGAUGUGGAGGAACACCGAUGGCGAAGGCAGCCCCCUGGGCUAACACUGACGCUCAUGCACGAAAGCGUGGGGAGCAAACAAGG